rnacentral:rRNA from 1 species
AGAGUUUGAUCAUGGCUCAGGACGAACGCUGGCGGCGUGCUUAACACAUGCAAGUCGAACGGAAAGUCCCGCUUGCGGGUACUCGAGUGGCGAACGGGUGAGUAACACGUGGGCAACCUGCCCUCAGCUCUGGGAUAACUCCGGGAAACCGGGGCUAAUACCGGAUACUCCGGUCGAACCUCAUGGUUCGAUCGGGAAAGCUCCGACGGUCUGGGAUGGGCCCGCGGCCUAUCAGCUUGUUGGCGAGGUAACGGCUCACCAAGGCGACGACGGGUAGCUGGUCUGAGAGGACGACCAGCCACACUGGAACUGAGAUACGGUCCAGACUCCUACGGGAGGCAGCAGUGGGGAAUCUUGCACAAUGGGCGAAAGCCUGAUGCAGCGACGCCGCGUGGGGGACGAAUGCCUUCGGGUUGUAAACCCCUUUCGGCAGGGAAGAAGCGCAAGUGACGGUACCUGCAGAAGAAGUCCCGGCUAACUACGUGCCAGCAGCCGCGGUAAGACGUAGGGGACGAGCGUUGUCCGGAUUCAUUGGGCGUAAAGCGCGCGUAGGCGGUUUGGUAAGUCGGAUGUGAAAACCAGAGGCUCAACCUCUGGCCUGCAUCCGAUACUGCCCGACUAGAGGUAGGUAGGGGAGAUCGGAAUUCCUGGUGUAGCGGUGAAAUGCGCAGAUAUCAGGAGGAACACCGGUGGCGAAUGCGGAUCUCUGGGCCUUACCUGACGCUGAGGAGCGAAAGUGUGGGGAGCGAACAGGAUUAGAUACCCUGGUAGUCCACACCGUAAACGUUGGGCGCUAGGUGUGGGGCCUAUUCCAUGGGUUCCGUGCCGCAGCUAACGCAUUAAGCGCCCCGCCUGGGGAGUACGGCCGCAAGGCUAAAACU